rnacentral:tRNA from 1 species
CCCGCGGUAGCUCAGCCUGGUAGAGCUUUCGGCUGUAGACCGAAGAGUCGCAGGCUCAAUCAACAAUGCAGAACUGCAUUUUGGAGCAAAUCCUGCCCGCGGGA